ACAGUAUAAACAGUCACUAAUGCUGACAAAAGAACCGCUUGGAUCUACGCCAUCUUGUUACGAUAUCAUGGCAACUUCGCUAGAUAAGUACCAGGCUCUUGUUCUGGAAGGUACUUAACGGCCCUAGACUUGGAUUCGUAGACCUAAUGUGGAAUUUAUAAAAAAGUAAAAAUGAAUCCCAUGUUAGGUCUCGCAAAUUUGUUAACAAAUUAGAUCUAAAGACCUAACCAGAUCUCAAAGCUACUAGUCUUGUUCGCUUCCUACACAGUAAAAAUCAAAUCGCUCCUAAUUCAACCUAAUAAAUUGUCCAAAAUUUUUCAUCUAGGAUGAAAACCCACUGCCAUCUAAAUUAUUUUUGUUACCUAAAUGAUUGUGUUCUUUGUAGUAAAGUAUCGAUAAGAAGUAGGAAUAAUAGGCGUAACAUAGACCUUAAAAACUAGACAAAUGGACUAGACUAGACAUCUGGAUGCGCGAGAUGACAAAGAUUAAACACGAUUAAUAAGUAGCUGUCAUCGUUUACAGGAGGAACAUUCAUCAAAUGAUUCAUUGGAUACUAACGCCGAUGCCUUCUGUAAAGAAAUUAUGUCAUGUUAGCCAUUUUUAAUAAAAUGAAAUAAUGAUGUGGUGAACAUUUUCCAAUUAUUUUAAA